GCGAGGAGUUCCCGCUGCCGCGUCACUCGGCCCGGGAGCCGCGCCGCGGAAAUCUGGAGAAGGGGCUGUCCCCCCCGCGUCCCCCGAAACCCAAACCCACCGGGACACUGCCCCGCGUCGGGGAGAAGGAAAGAAACCCUCGUUCCAUUCACUGAGUCCUCUUGACACCCUGCAAGGCAAGACACCGUACCUUUUUUUCUUUUCUGCAAUUCAGAAAAGUGGAGCUUGAACUUGUCCAGAGGCCACGCGGUAGGUGGGAACGUGGCUCUCGGAUGCAGAAGGAUCACCGACGCCGGGCUGGAAGCAGACGCCACACCCCUCGCUGCGCUGCACCCCUGCUGGGAUGUGGAUCUGGUUGUCCCGGUGCUGUGGGAAGGAGUCCGUGACAUAAAGAAGGCUCCGAUGCAGAGUUACUAAGGUAAACACAGACAGCUCGGAGUUGGAGCCCAGGAGAAGACGGCUUGGACUCGGACUCUCGGACAGUGGGAUAGGGGAGACCUGGAUGCAAUGGUGACUGCUCUACAAGUUUGAAUAGAGCCCUGUGGCUCUCUCUCCCUGCCCCUUCCCUGCUUGCAC